rnacentral:rRNA from 1 species
UGGGGAAUAUUGGACAAUGGGCGAAAGCCUGAUCCAGCCAUGCCGCGUGUGUGAAGAAGGUCUUCGGAUUGUAAAGCACUUUAAGUUGGGAGGAAGGGCAGUAAGUUAAUACCUUGCUGUUUUGACGUUACCGACAGAAUAAGCACCGGCUAACUCUGUGCCAGCAGCCGCGGUAAUACAGAGGGUGCAAGCGUUAAUCGGAAUUACUGGGCGUAAAGGGCGCGUAGGCGGUCGAGUAAGUCGGAUGUGAAAUCCCCGGGCUUAACCUGGGAAUUGCAUUCGAUACUGCUUGGCUAGAGUGUGGAAGAGGGAAGCGGAAUUUCCGGUGUAGCGGUGAAAUGCGUAGAUAUCGGAAGGAACACCAGUGGCGAAGGCGGCUUCCUGGUCCAACACUGACGCUGAGGCGCGAAAGCGUGGGGAGCAAACAGGAUUAGAUACCCUGGUAGUCCCUGAGCGGGCUGGCAAGGCGCAU